rnacentral:rRNA from 1 species
AAUUUGUUCAAACGGUGGAACAUGUGGUUUAAUUUGAUAAUCCACAAAAAAUCUUACCAAUAUUUUUUUUUUUUUGUUAAUUAUUAAUUUUUAUAUAUUUUAAAAAAUUAGGUAUUGCAUGGCUGUCGUCAGUUCGUGUUUUGAGAUGUAAAGUUUAGUCUUUUUUUACGAACGAAACUUAAAAUAAAAUUUAUAAUUUAUUUUUUAAAUAUUUUAUUUUUUUAUUUAGUUUUUAACUGAAGUCAAGUCUUUAUGAUCUGUAUAUAUUGGGCUAUACAUGUGUUACAAAAAAAAUGAUAAAAAGUUACAAAUAUGUGAAUAUGCGUAAAUCUUUAAUUAUUUUUUUGUUUAGAUUAUUUUAUGUAACUCUAAAAUAUGAAAAUGGAAUCGUUAGUAAUUGUAAAUUAUUAUUGUACAGUGAAAUUUUAGUCAAAUUUUGCACACACUGCCCAUCACGCUCGAAAAAUUAUUUAAAAUUAAUGUAAAAAAAUAUAUAGUUUUGGAUUAUUAAAUUUCUAUUUUUUUAAGUAAAUUUUAUAAUGAUAAUUU